AAAGAAAUAGUUCAGCUGGGAGAGCGUUAGACUGAAGAUCUAAAGGUCCCUGGUUCGAUCCCGGGUUUCGGCA
rnacentral:tRNA from 1 species